rnacentral:rRNA from 1 species
UACGUAGGGUCCGAGCGUUGUCCGGAAUUAUUGGGCGUAAAGAGCUCGUAGGCGGUUUGUCGCGUCUGCUGUGAAAGCCCGAGGCUCAACUUCGGGUCUGCAGUGGGUACGGGCAGGCUAGAGUGCGGUAGGGGAGAACGGAAUUCCUGGUGUAGCGGUGGAAUGCGCAGAUAUCAGGAGGAACACCGAUGGCGAAGGCAGUUCUCUGGGCCGUUACUGACGCUGAGGAGCGAAAGCGUGGGGAGCGAACAGG